UACGGAGGGUGCAAGCGUUAAUCGGAAUUACUGGGCGUAAAGCGUGCGUAGGUGGUUCGUUAAGUCCGUUGUGAAAGCCCCGAGCUCAACUUGGGAAUUGCAGUGGAUACUGGCGAGCUGGAGUGCGGUAGAGGAAGGUGGAAUUCCCGGUGUAGCGGUGAAAUGCGUAGAGAUCGGGAGGAACACCAGUGGCGAAGGCGGGUCUCUGGACAGUUCCUGACACUGAGACACGAAGGCCAGGGGAGCAAACGGG
rnacentral:rRNA from 1 species